rnacentral:tRNA from 1 species
CGGGGUAUAGCUCAAUUGGCAGAGCGCUUCGUUCGGGACGAAGAGGUUCCCAGUUCAAGCCUGGGUACCCCGACCA